rnacentral:misc_RNA from 1 species
GUUUUGCUUGUAUCAUGUAAAAAUUAAAUAAGAUUUUUCAAGGGUAGUAUUCCAUUUUUCUAAGCAACACGGCAAAGAUUGUAUUUACAGAAUCCAAAAUGAGAAAAGCCCCAGCCCCUAAGGUUUCUCGUUUCUUCUGAGAUAAAAAGUCUUUUGCUUUGCCUACUUUAGGCUGUCCCCUAUCCUUCCGGGUGAGGGAUGGCCCUCUAUGCCUUGCCUGGAUGUGGUUCGUCUUUCCCGUCCUCCGAGUGGGAUUGUACAUAGGUUUUGGGUUGUGUUGCUUGCAGGUUCGUUGUUCAUGGAGAAGGAUUCUUAUAACCUGCGAUAGUCUUUUGAUGUUGUUCAGCAAUUUUUCACUUGGAUCUUCUGAGAUCCGAUCUUAUGCUAUCCUUUCUUGGUGUUAGUGUCUAGAAUUGUGUUCGAUUUGGUGUUAGUAGCUGCAGAAACCUUGCUUUAGCCUGCAGAAGGGUGCAAAUCUAUUUUAGACCAUGAGGAUGGUCAUCUACGGAGUCCCAUAACCGGCUACUUCGUUCGGCCGCCUAAUUCUUGAAAGCUCAGAGGCUAUAGGAGCUCUAGCCAUCUACUCUUCCAUUGAUCAUCGAAUAUGGUGGUUUUUCAGUCUUUUUGGGGGCCUUCUCUAUUUCCAUGGAAGGAUGUUUUCUUGAGGAAAAACCUUUGGUGGCUUCAAGCCUUCGGUGGCAUUUUUAAAAGUGUGACUUCUCGACUGUCCAGUCCAGGCAGAGUGUGGGGGAGGAUGAGAUGGGCGGUGGCACUGCUUGGCAUAGUCUCUCUCUUUCAGUAGCUCUAGGAUUUGUAUUAGCGGGCCUUGGCCAAACUUGUAAUAUAGAGCUACUUUUAGGCUCUAUUUGUUAACAUUGUGAUCUUUGGGCACUUAUUUGAGUUGUUCUUCCAAGCCAAUGAUUGUAUUA